AGGGUAGUGGCGCAAUUGGUAGCGCAUCGGUCUCCAAAACCGACGGUUGGGGGUUCGAGUCCCUCCUACCCUGC
rnacentral:tRNA from 2 species